rnacentral:rRNA from 1 species
GUUAGGAAUAUUGGACAAUGGGCGAAAGCCUGAUCCAGCCAUGCCGCGUGUGUGAAGAAGGUCUUCGGAUUGUAAAGCACUUUAAGUUGGGAGGAAGGGCAGUAAGUUAAUACCUUGCUGUUUUGACGUUACCGACAGAAUAAGCACCGGCUAACUUCGUGCCAGCAGCCGCGGUAAUACGAAGGGUGCAAGCGUUAAUCGGAAUUACUGGGCGUAAAGCGCGCGUAGGUGGUUUUGUAAGUUGGAGGUGAAAUCCCCGGGCUCAACCUGGGAACUGCCUCCAAAACUGCAUGACUAGAGUACGGUAGAGGGUAGUGGAAUUUCCUGUGUAGCGGUGAAAUGCGUAGAUAUAGGAAGGAACACCAGUGGCGAAGGCGACUACCUGGACUGAUACUGACACUGAGGUGCGAAAGCGUGGGGAGCAAACAGGAUUAGAAACCCCUGUAGUCC